rnacentral:rRNA from 1 species
AUGAACGCUGGCGGCGUGCCUAAUACAUGCAAGUCGAGCGAACGGACGAGAAGCUUGCUUCUCUGAUGUUAGCGGCGGACGGGUGAGUAACACGUGGAUAACCUACCUAUAAGACUGGGAUAACUUCGGGAAACCGGAGCUAAUACCGGAUAAUAUUUUGAACCGCAUGGUUCAAAAGUGAAAGACGGUCUUGCUGUCACUUAUAGCUGGAUCCGCGCUGCAUUAGCUAGUUGGUAAGGUAACGGCUUACCAAGGCAACGAUGCAUAGCCGACCUGAGAGGGUGAUCGGCCACACGGGAACUGAGAAACGGGCCAGACUCCGACGGGAGGCAGCAGUAGGGAAUCGUCCGCAAUGGGCGAAAGCCUGACGGAGCAACGCCGCGUGAGUGAUGAAGGUCUUCGGAUCGUAAAACUCUGUUAUUAGGGAAGAACAUAUGUGUAAGUAACUGUGCACAUCUUGACGGUACCUAAUCAGAAAGCCACGGCUAACUACGUG